rnacentral:rRNA from 1 species
CCUACGGGCGGCAGCAGUGGGGAAUAUUGCACAAUGGGGGAAACCCUGAUGCAGCGACGCCGCGUGAGUGAAGAAGUAUUUCGGUACGUAAAGCUCUAUCAGCAGGGAAGAAAAUGACGGUACCUGACUAAGAAGCCCCGGCUAACUACGUGCCAGCAGCCGCGGUAAUACGUAGGGGGCAAGCGUUAUCCGGAUUUACGGGGUGUAAAGGGAGCGUAGACGGCAGCGCAAGUCUGGAGUGAAAUCCCAUGGCUUAACCAUGGAACUGCUUUGGAAACUGUGCAGCUAGAGUGCAGGAGAGGUAAGCGGAAUUCCUAGUGUAGCGGUGAAAUGCGUAGAUAUUAGGAGGAACACCAGUGGCGAAGGCGGCUUACUGGACUGUAACUGACGUUGAGGCUCGAAAGCGUGGGGAGCAAACAGGAUUAGAUACCCUAGUAGUC